rnacentral:rRNA from 1 species
CCGAGUGCGAGGGCAUAUAGUCCUCGCUUUUCACCACCGUAAGGUGGUGGUGGAAUAAGUGCUGGGCAAGACCGGUGCCAGCCGCCGCGGUAAUACCGGCAGCACGAGUGAUGACCGCUAUUAUUGGGCCUAAAGCGUCCGUAGCUGGCCGCACAAGUCUAUCGGGAAAUCUGCGUGCUUAACGCGCAGGCGUCCGGUGGAAACUGUGUGGCUUGGGACCGGAAGAUCCAGAGGGUACGUCUGGGGUAGGAGUGAAAUCCCGUAAUCCUGGACGGACCGCCGGUGGCGAAAGCGCUCUGGAAGGACGGAUCCGACGGUGAGGGACGAAAGCUCGGGUCACGAACCGGAUUAGAUACCCGGGUAGUCCGAGCUGUAAACGAUGUCUGCUAGGUGUGACACUGGCUACGAGCCAGUGUUGUGCCGUAGGGAAGCCGUGAAGCAGACCGCCUGGGAAGUACGUCCGCAAGGAUGAAACUUAAAGGAAUUGGCGGGGGAG